rnacentral:rRNA from 1 species
AGAACGAACGCUGGCGGCAGGCCUCAAACAUGCAAGUCUAGGGGAUGUAGCAAUACAUCACCGGCGGACGGGUGCGUAACACGUGGGAAUAUACCUUUCGGUACGGAACAACUGCGGGAAACUGCAGCUAAUACCGUAUACGUCCUUACGGAGAAAGAUUUAUCGCCGAAGGAUUAGCCCGCGUUCGAUUAGCUAGUUGGUGAGGUAAUGGCUCACCAAGGCGACGAUCGAUAGCUGUUCUGAGAGGAAGAUCAGCCACACUGGGACUGAGACACGGCCCAGACUCCUACGGGAGGCAGCAGUUGGGAAUCUUGGACAAUGGGGGAAACCCUGAUCCAGCCAUGCCGCGUGAGUGAUGAAGGCCUUCGGGUUGUAAACGCUCUUUUACCCGGGAAGAUAAUGACUGUACCGGAGAAUAAGCUCGGCUAACUCGUGCCAGCAGCCGC